GACGAACGCUGGCGGCGUGCUUAACACAUGCAAGUCGAACGGAAAGGCCCUGCUUUUGUGGGGUGCUCGAGUGGCGAACGGGUGCGUAACACGUGAGUAACCUGCCCUUGACUUUGGGAUAACUUCAGGAAACUGGGGCUAAUACCGGAUAGGAGCUCCUGCUGCAUGGUGGGGGUUGGAAAGUUUCGGCGGUUGGGGAUGGACUCGCGGCUUAUCAGCUUGUUGGUGGGGUAGUGGCUUACCAAGGCUUUGACGGGUAGCCGGCCUGAGAGGGUGACCGGCCACAUUGGGACUGAGAUACAGCCCAGACUCCUACGGGAGGCAGCAGUGGGGAAUAUUGCACAAUGGGCGGAAGCCUGAUGCAGCAACGCCGCGUGCGGGAUGACGGCCUUCGGGUUGUAAACCGCUUUCGCCUGUGACGAAGCGUGAGUGACGGUAAUGGGUAAAGAAGCACCGGCUAACUACGUG
rnacentral:rRNA from 1 species